AAAAUCAAGAGCAACCAGAGGUUCGUAGGUAUCGUAAUUAUUGUCUGGAUCCAUCUAGGGUACGAAUCGAUAUCUCUGUAUCCGAAAUCAGUCGAUGAUCAGUCUUCGUGUUGAUAUACCUAUUAGAUCGUGUUAGAAUGGAAUCGAACUAGGGUUCUUACGAGUUGCGCAGUAAUCUAGGGUUUUCGAACUUCGAAAGUCGCCGUGACUGAUUGAUCGAUUAGUGUAAGAUAUAAAG
rnacentral:lncRNA from 1 species